GAAUGAAACGAAGUUUGGCAAAGGUUAGUGAUACUCAUUUUUAAAACCACUACAACCUCCUAUUAAUAAUGUUGACUACAUAGCUAUUUAGAAAUGCAACCUCUCUCCCUUCUGGACAGAAUUGAUGGAUCAUAUCAGAUCUAGUCUACGUUGCAGAAUCUCUGUAUAAAUUUUUGUUUGCUCAAGUUAUUUUAUAGGUGUUAUGAUUUUUAACAGGCUCGAACACUGCUGAAAUCAC
rnacentral:misc_RNA from 1 species